GGAAAUCGUGUAGAUCUGCAAGAGGAAGGCACCAGGGAGUUUUAGAGAGAGAGAAAACGAAGUUUGGUUCAGAUUUGAGAAAGAACAAAAGCUAUGUAACCGGAUAUAUAUCCGCGGCUACAGUACCCGUACCGGUACUGGAUCGUGUACCGGUACACGAUCUCAGAUUUCGAAAAUUUUCUUUGAAAAUCCAUCAAAUUUAAAUUAAUUUCAUAUAAAUUAACACUUUUACUCCAAAAAUCAUUAUAAUGAAAAUAAUAUAUUAUAAAAUUUUAAAAUACAUCGAAACAUCAAAAUUUCAUAAUCAAAACUGAUUUCAAGUUUCAAAAUUAUCAAGAU
rnacentral:lncRNA from 1 species